AUGUCGCUCUACAACUUCACGUACGUCCUCAUCGGCGACUCAGGUACGCUCCCCGGGUCAUCUUCCAAUCCCCUCCUCUUGCUGCUCGUUCCGUCGCGUGCAGCUCUCCUCUCGAUGUCGGGGAGAUCUGAUUGGAUGGUCCGACGACCUAGUGCAGGUGUCGGCAAGACAUGCCUGCUGGUGCAGUUCCUCCACAAGGAGUUCCACCCCGUCCUUGAGCUCAACCUCGACACCGAGCGCGGAGACAGGAUGAUCACCAUCGACAACAAGCCCGUCAAGCUUCUGAUUUGGGACACGCCAGGCAGAGACGCAUUCAGAUCGCUGACUACACCACUCUACUACAUGGCUGUCGGUGCUCUUUUGGUUUAUGACAUCACCAGGAGGGAGACUUCUAACCAUCUCGUGAACUGGCUGCAAGAUGCAAGGCAAUAUUCGCACCCUGGCAUGACAAUAAUGCUGAUUGGGAACAAAUGUGAUCUAUCUCACAGCCGUGCCGUGAGCUAUGAGGAGGGCAAGCGGUUUGCAGAGGACCAUGGUCUGCUAUUCAUGGAGGCAUCUGCCAAAACUGCACAGAAUGUUGUGGAGGGUUUCCUUCAGACUGCUGGAGCAAUAUACCAGAAAACUUAG
rnacentral:rRNA from 1 species